rnacentral:piRNA from 1 species
UUGCUCUAGCUCAGUUACCACUGCCAAGAU